GACGAACCGUGCAACCGUUGUUCGGAAUCACUGGGCUUAAAGGGCGCGUAGGCGGGCCAGCCAGUCUGUGGUGAAAGCCCCCGGCUUAACCGGGGAAGUGCCGUGGAUACUGCUGGCCUCGAGGAGGAUAGGGGCAUCUGGAACGGUCGGUGGAGCGGUGAAAUGCGUUGAUAUCGACCGGAACUCCGGUGGCGAAGGCGAGGUGCUGGGUCCUUUCUGACGCUGAUGCGCGAAAGCCAGGGGAGCAAACGGG
rnacentral:rRNA from 1 species